UCAGAGGACAGAAAACACUCACUCUUUCAUUCAGCAAGCACUUCUUGAGAGUCUGUUAGGGGCAGGGCUCUGUGCUGGGUGCUGGGGAUAAAACGGGCAGCUCUCCAUGGCUCCUACUGCCAUGAAGCUUACAGACCAGGGAAACGGCUUAUGAUCACGGGGACUAAAGUGUCCAGUACACCAUGAGCUCCAUGAAAGUACAGAUUAGGUUAUAUUUCCUUCUUAACAUUUUCAAUUUAUUUUAUUUUUUAAUGGAUUAUGUAAUUCACACACCACAAAACGCGCCCUUGGAAAGUGGGCAAUUUGAACCGUGUGGUAUAUUCGCAAGGUUCUGCAAAACUCACCGCUGUGUAAUGGCAGAACAUUUUCAUCGCGCCCCAAAAGGAAGCCCAUCCGCAUUAGCCAUCACUCCCCAUUCCCUCUGUCCCCAGUUCCUGGCAACCACCAAUCUACUUUCUAUACUGUGGGUUUGCCUUUCCUAGACAUGUCACGUCAAUGGAAUCAAGCCAUACGUGGUCUUUCGUGUCUGGUUUCUUCUACGUAGCAUUGUGUGACCAAGGUUUGUCCGCCCUGUGGCACAGAUCCGUGUUUCAAUCCUCUCUAUGGCCAACAAACCCCUGAUACGAAUAUUGCACAUUCUGUUUCGUUGGUCAUCACUGGCUGGACGGCUACGUUUCCUUUCGCGUCUUGUGCCUCCGCGUUCCCCUUUCUCUCUUCCUCUUUCUUCUUGCUCUCUUCUCCAUUCCUCCUUCCUUCUCUUGUUGCUGCUUCCCUCUCUCAGAUGCUUCUGAGUCACCGUGUGACCGGCGCUGUUAUUAAGGAUCUGAUAAAGGCUCCAGCCUGAGAUAAAUUGAAGAGCACCAAUUUUUUUUUUUUUUUUUAAUGAAAGCUUUACUUGAAAACAGAUUUAGUUUUGCUGAGAAGUUAUGAAGAUAGUCCAGAAUUCCUGUCUCCCUGUCGCGUAGUUUCCCCUACUGUGACCGUCUUCUGCACAAAGGUGCAUUCCUUCUAGUGAAGGACCCAGGCUUGUUACAGAACAUCAGCUAAACUCUAUCCUUCACUCAGAUUUCACUGGUUUUCCCCCAGUGGCCUUUUCCUGUUCCAGGCUCCCACAGAGACUUUAACUGCCAUGUCUCACGAGGCUCCUCUGAUCUGUGACGCUGUCUCAGGCUUCCCGUGUUUUGGAUGACCUUGAGAGUUUUGAGGGGUACUGGUCAGGUUCUUUGUAGAAUGUCCCUCCGCUGGGGUUUGUUUGUUUUUGUUUGUUUCUUGGGCUUAGACUGGGGCUAUGGGUUACAGGUGAAUAAAGGCAUCACUUUGAAACUUCUGUGAGAAGCCCCACGGCUAAGAAGUAAGACCAAAUCGGCCAGGAUUACUCAGAAGAAAAGAGAGAGAGAAGCUUUACUUUUGAGGCCUUGAAGUGAUAAAAGUGGCAUAUGGAAGGAUCCCCGGGCCCCUUCCCCAAAGAGUUGUAUGUUCCCUGUCCCACAGCGGUGAAGAAAGCCUUUAUCCGGCAUGCAAACCCAACUGGACAUUUGUCCUUUCUCUCCCCUUGGUUCUACCGUGUGCUCUUGGGAGAGACAAGCCCUCUUUCUGGGUGUCCAUAGAAUCUGGAAGUUGGAACCAGUGACCUCCAAGGCUUCUUCUUGCUACAACAUAGGAGGAGACUAGAGGGCUCCCUUGUCUCCUCAACACUCAGCACAUUCCUCAGUAGGAAUCCCUUCUUUUCCAUACGGGUCUCAGGUGGCUGGAGUCACAUGACAGACACCCCCAGACCGCAGCCCCACCCAACCCCAUUUUUAAAGCUUCCUUUGCAAACACCAGAAGAAAACAAAACCCAGAAGCUUGCCACAAGGAUCUCCACGCUGAGGAAUGCAGUGAGCCCCAGGAUGGCAGUGCCCAGAGCAGGACCCCUGUCCCUGGCUGUCCCCGGUCCCCUGCUGACACAGCACAGGGGCCAGAGGGAUGAGGGUCACAGGCAGCUCCACACACCACACGAUGUUGGAGACUCACCCCAAGAGGCUGUUUUGGUUCAACAACUCCUGUAGCUCGACUAAGUUAAUCACUGAUGACAGGAGAUUAAUUUAUAACCGGACAGCAGACAAGAUAGUUCAGGCUUUGGCGGGAUGGCACUGAACUGUGGCAUGGGGCGUCACGCAGAAGAGGCCCGGUCUGCAGCUCGGUGUGGAGGCUGAGGGCUUCAGCUGUGCACGGCUUCCCAGAGGCCGGCUGGACAAAACAGAGAGGGACACUGUGCCAGGGACUCUCCUCUCUGAGCAGAUUUGCUGGUCAUAGAAGACCCGUCCAGGGGCACCUGGGUGGCUCAGUAGGUUAAGCGUCUGCCUUUGGCUUGGGUCAUGAUCCCAGGCUCCUCCCUACCCAGCAAGCCUGCUUCUUCCUCUACCUCUGCCUGCUGUUCUCCCUGUUGUGCUCUCAAUCUCUCUGUCAAACAAAUAAAUAAAAUCUCAAAAUAAAUAAAUAAAUAAAUAAAGGAGACCUGUCAAAACAACAGCUGAGCUUAUGGGAAACGUCCAGUGUGAAAAGUCCAAUUAGGAGGGAGUGUCAGCCUGCCAGCGCAGUCCGGGCCCAUCGGCUAAGCCAUAUGGGACAGGAGGAGAGGAAGGGGACAAGUAAGGAGAUGGAUGGAAGGUGACGGACAGGGGCGGAAGGCCAGCUGGGAGUCCUGAGCAGGGUGUAGGGUGAGGGGUGCUUCCGCAGCCUCCAGCGCCUCGCGCGGGGACAGCACCUCUCCAGCGAAGGCAGGUCUCUGAGGACCAACCCUCCUACCCCACCUGCAUCCCCUCUGUCGUUCCCAGCAUGACCAACCCCAUUCUGGGGCCAAAGAAGAUUGGAAGGAAUCAUGAUGUGCAGACUCCUCUGGGGCCUGGACGUCAUACUCUAGACAUUGCUUUUGCAACAAGUAAAAAGACCCUUUCCUGCUGCAUUGGGGCGCACGCGGCAUCUGCGGGGGGCUGCCGUUCCGCCAGGCGCGGCAAGCUCGUGUUUCUAGCCGGGACACUUUGGCGUUCUGAAGUCAAGCCCGUUGGUCAAGGAAGCCCCUGGCAAUCCAGCCCUGGUGGCACAGGGUGCCGGAGGCUAGUCCGCGAGACCGCGGUCUCGAUAGAGAAAGAAGGUAAGAGAAAGCGAGAAGACAAAUGGGACCAAAAAUAGGAAAGAAGCCAGAUCAAAAAUGGGGGUUGCUGAAAUGCAGGCUUCCCACCCAGAAGCGUUCUGGGAGAGCGGCUGAAACGUGAGUGACUUAUGCUUGAUUGCCUACUGGGAGCCCAGCCCUUGUCAUUUUGAUUCAGUCCCUGCAGUCUCCUGUUUCUCUGUCCGUGUGUUCCUUCCACCCAGAACACCCUCCUCUCCAGAACCUAGUUCCUAUUUGCCAAGAGCCAGCUGAGGCAUCAUUUCCGCCCGAAAGUCUACCAGGAACCUUCAGGCUGGACCUCGGGGUUCUUCUCUUUGGCGUCUAAAGUUCCUUACAUCUAUUGCAGCAACAUCUGUGUGUUCCCAACCCUGACAGGCAACUUAGCAUCACUUGGAGGACCUUGUUAAAAAUAUAAAUCCUGAAUAUAUAUAUAUAUAAAUCCUAGAUGCCUGACUCUCUUGGGACAAGGCUUGGGAAGUUGUGUUUUAUUAAUCCUCAUGAGUGUGUUAGAUGCCAGGCCAGGGCUGGGUAGCUCUCAUCUAGUCUGUGUCCCCUGGGUCUGUGCACAGGGCUUAGAUCAUGGAGACCACAUGCCACUGGGCCCAGUCAUCCCCUAGGUCUGGCAGGAAAGGAUGCAGAAAUAUAAGACGCAGGCCCUUCAGCUCAGAUUAUUUCUGUCCAUUCAUUGCUCCUGCCUCGGGCCCCAAACGCUGUCCUAAGGAUAGAAGAACAAAACCCAACACAGCCUACCCUCACGUAGCUUAUAGGCUAGUUGGCAGACAGAGGCAAAUCCCAUCACCUACACAUGUGUUAUUGCAAAGUACAAUGUGAGUGUUCUAAAGGAAAAGAGAAGCGGCUCAGAAACCCUAUAACAGGCACUCUGGCAAAGGCCUUUGUUGAAUUAUAAAAAGAGACACACACCUCCCUUUGAACUGACAUAAUCUCACACUGAGAACCAGGCUUGACUGGUGAAGUGUAGGCUGGAUUUAAGUCACCCUCUCCCCUCUAUCUCCCCCAACCCUCCAGCAGUGGAGCACUCUUGCACAGUGAACAACCUGGACACCCUUCUGUUGUGGCCCUGCUGCAGUCUCUAGCAGAACGUUCUGGCUUCUUGGCUCUCCCUUAUAGCUGGAAGAGUCCUUUAUCCUAGAAGGAGAUAAUUACAUCUUCUACAGGCAUAAAUCUGUUUGGACAUUUAGAGAGGAAUUUAUAUGUAGUUUCUGGAGGACUGGGUGUUUUUCUUAUCUAAAUUGAAAAGAGGAUUCUUUUAAAUAUGAUCCAAGAGUGUUCUUUCAUAUGGUAAUUAAACACACUCUGGCUGAUAAGCUCUAGACUUGGCAUAAGGUUCAAAGCAGAAAUUAUGUUCAGAUGAGGCACAGGGAUGUUUUUUGAUCUGAUUUGUUUUUAGCUGCUGACACUGGGAUAAUUUUGGCUUCUGUGUGGCAGGAGGCCUCAGAAACCUGGGAAAAUGAGACCUUUUGGAAGAAAGUCCAAAAUACCUAGAAGGGAUGGAAGGGCGCUUGUUACAUUUUGGAGCUAGGACAAAGCAGCAUUCUCUGGUGGAAGAAAACUCUGGUCACACGCUAGCCGCAGAGGAUCUGAGCUGGAGGGGCCCUUGAGAGGCACCGUGUCCAGAUCCUUCUUUCUGCCAAUGGGGAAACUGAGGCUCAGAGAGAGCAACUGGCUUGGCAGUGGGCGGCAGAGCCAGGUUGACCCCUGCUGCUUCUGUGGAUGGCCCACGGCGUCCAGCAGGAGGGUGGUGUGAGCUGACUGGGUGGCUGUGUGUAUUGGAGACAGCGAGAAGGGGGGAGGUAGGGCUGAAGACAAGGAAUCUUGCCACAGCCAGCAUGGCCCCUCCUCUUUCAGAUGCAGGACGCUGCUCUCCCUGCUUCCGAGGGUUAGGGGUAAGUGUCGUCUACAGGAGAGGACACUGGGAACUGAAGUAAGGGAAGACGGAAGUCACCCAACAGAUACCAGAGAGGGCACGGUGAGCCACAUGCCACGUGGCUGUUUCACCAGGGGUGGUAGUAUUCAGUCUGGGGUAGGGGAAGGUUGGGUGCCCGAGUGACAUCCUACUUUGGACACCGUAUCUUUCACGCUUUCAGUUGUGAGGACAAGAUGGGCUAAUGGGUGCUCGGUGAAGGGUGGCAUCUCUCAUUGGAGAGCCUGCUAAGGAAAGGGGUAGGGGAGGGGCCCCUCAGCGGUCGUGAUUUCAGGAGGUACGACUCUCCCAUCUCACAGGUGAGGAAACAGGAGAAUUUCCUGCCUGGAGUCAUACAGCUUGAGAGCAGUGAAGCCAGGCACUUCCGAGGACGUGCCUUAAGCUCCGAGCCAGGCUAUCUUCUCUCAGACUCAGCAUAAUUUUUGCCUGCGCCAGCUGCCGGCUCCUUUCCUUGCCUCCUGGCCCUGCCUCCCCUCCCCAGAGGACCUGCAGCAGACAUGAUCCCCAAAUUCAAGUGCAUUUGAGUACAGAUGUGGUGCUUUGCACACGAGCCCUGACUUUGGCAGACAGAUGUGUUGGCAGUUCAAGCAUUGGAGAAUGCUGGAAAUGGGAGUCCCUUUCCCAAAGAUGAAAGAUCGGGGGAUGCUGUGGGACAUACCCAGUGUUGGUUUUACUCCAGCUUGUUUUCCAAAGGCCCAAGCUCCACCAGCACGCUAGGGCCCAGCUCUGAUUCAAACUUAGGAAGUCGGCACAGACAUCUCUAGCCGAGGGCUGCUCCUGCGUGGCCCCUGCGUGGUCCGGGCCCUCUUUCCUUCUCUUGUCUCCUAGUUACUAUGCUUCUGGGGACAAGGAAGGGACAGUUCCGAACAAAGGCCUUCAUCAGUUCUUUUUGUGAAACUCCUACAGAUUGGGUAACUGACAGUUUUUCAUCAAUACCCACUUCUCUAGUGAAUUUCAACAAGCUCGAACUCCUAAAAAACAAAACAUUUUCAUGCCCUGUGAAGGGUGUAGGUAAAUGUGGAACGAUCAAUUGAAAAGAUGAGCAUUUCUAACUCCUGAGGGCAUGUGCAGGAGUCCCGACCAGGCUGGGAGUGAGGAGACGGAAGUUUCAGUCCUCAUUCCUUCUUGCUGCCUGUGUGAUCCUGGCCAAGUUGAUUAACCUCUCUGGUCCUCCAUGCUUGCUAAGGCCUGUUUCACCAUUACAAACAUGGAAAGAAACCUCUCGGGAACAUAGUUCCUUUCCGGGGGUGAGUUUUGCACAUUCAACCCUGGCCACUGAUACUUGAUGAGUUUGGAGUUUUCUCUUGGUGGGAACAGGGACAGGUGUUUAAAGCAAAGACCUGAGUUCUUUCCAACUGCGGCCCUAAGUCGGUGGGUCUGGGAGGCCAAUCAGGCUGUAAAAUCAUAUGCGGUUUACACUGUAGAAAUAGAUCCAGUUUGCUUAGAAUAAAAUCCUGGAGGUAAAGUGGUGAUUCCAAACUCCACUGAGUUGCAGCCUUAGAACUAAGAGCCAGACCGUGUGCUCCGAACACUUCAGCGGACAGGUGGGGAGGCCCACAGUCCACGAAGGAAGUACCCCAGGACUCCUGGAGAAUUUGAGACAGAACCAGAGCCAGAACCUAGCUAGACAACGUCUGGCCUAACGCUUGUCCUCUCUGUAUGAAUGAAAGCCAAUUUAAAGAGUAAGGGAUUAUAAAAAUCACCCUAUUAUCUUAAGAACAGCUUUAAUAUAUGUAAAUACAGGCCCAAAAGAUUUUUAUUUAUAGUUGCAGUUUAACACAAAUCCAAACCCUGCACGUCCUCAGACACCACUAUGGACACUCGAUUUGCAUUUCCCGAAACCACCCUGAGAGCAACUCUGAAAUAAAUUAAAAAGAAUGGUCAAGCCUGAAUGCACACCGAGGUUUCCAUGUGCUCAACUCAGCAGAUUCAGGGGAAUAUCCGUUCUGGGCUCUUCCAAGGCUGGGCCGCUUCCAGGUGGGGCAGAGGCCGACAUCAGGAGUGCUGAGAAGGUGGUGGCGUGAUUGGAGUCAGAAGGCCUUAUUUUCUCCGGGUUCACCUGGCUGAAGCUCUGGGAGAAAACGCUGGCCGGCACACUGCACUUUCGCUCACAAUGGGGAUCGGCCGGGAACGGGAGACGUUUGAAUGGGGUGGGGUGUUUCCACUUAAUCAUUACCACUGCUGACAUCAAUGAAAACCUGCAUGGGCACCCACAAUGAGUGGAAAGGAGGCCAGACUCUCGGGAAGUAUUGUGAUGAGGUCGGGGACACAGAGAAUGCAAAACCGAGCUGGGCUUGGAUUGCGGCUUCAGUGCAUGGUUGUUUUUUGUGGUCGAAGUGUGCAAACUGCCCUAGCUAUUUCCAAACAACUUCAGGAGAGGAAUGGUUGGGUUUUCCAGCUCCCCAGUGGGUGCCCUGGACACAGGCAGCCUUGAGAACAAAUAUGUCCUGUCCAGAAAUAGGAAGUCAACUAUUUACUUAUGCAAGCAAUGCUAUAAAAGGGCUUUAUAAGGUGAGUUGCAGCUCCUGAGCUUUGGACUGACCCCUGGAUUGGUCUCAGAAGGCUCCUUCCGGAGGAAGGAAGGUCCUGAAGCUCUCGGGUUGAGCACUGGAUCAAACAACAACUGAAAUCAAGUAGAACCUCCCCCAUCUAACAAGCUGGUGAGCCCAGGCAAAACACCCUCGAGACAGCUUCUGAACGAAGAUGUCAAUAUCGCCAUGUCAACCUGAACCAGCAUCACAGCCUUUCAAAAUUUAUUUUGUGAAGUUAAGAAAAAAACUUUUUUUAAAUAAAAAUCACUUUCAAAUCC